rnacentral:rRNA from 1 species
ACGAACGCUGGCGGCGUGCCUAACACAUGCAAGUCGAGCGGAGGUAGUUUGAUGGUAACUGAUAACUACUUUAGCGGCGGACGGGUGAGUAACACGUUGGCAACCUGCCUCGAAGUGGGGGAUAACACCGAGAAAUCGGUGCUAAUACCGCAUAACAUACAGACAUCACCUGAUGACUGUAUCAAAGGAGAAAUCCGCUUUGAGAUGGGCCCGCGGCUGAUUAGCUAGUUGGUGAGGUAAUGGCUCACCAAGGCGACGAGCAGUAGCCGACCUGAGAGGGUGACCGGCCACACUGGAACUGAGACACGGUCCAGACUCCUACGGGAGGCAGCAGUGGGGAAUAUUGCGCAAUGGGGGAAACCCUGACGCAGCAACGCCGCGUGGAGGAAGAAGGUCUUCGGAUUGGAAACUCCUGUCGUCUGGGACGAUAAUGACGGUACCAGAGGAGGAAGCCACGGCUAACUACGU